rnacentral:rRNA from 1 species
UACGGAGGGUGCAAGCGUUAAUCGGAAUUACUGGGCGUAAAGCGUGCGUAGGCGGUUCGUUAAGUCUGUUGUGAAAGCCCCGGGCUCAACCUGGGAAUGGCAAUGGAUACUGGCGAGCUAGAGUGUGUCAGAGGAUGGUGGAAUUCCAGGUGUAGCGGUGAAAUGCGUAGAUAUCUGGAGGAACACCGGUGGCGAAGGCGGCAUCCUGGACCAACACUGACGCUGAGGAGCGAAAGCCAGGGGAGCAAACGGG